rnacentral:lncRNA from 1 species
AGGUGUGUUUUGUUCCUUGCUCUCUCUUUUUGGCUUGUUCUUUUUACCUCGGUUCUAGCCCUGCUACCCCAUAAUUGUUUUUACUUUUAACUCCUAUUCUGUGUUCCAGUCUACUGCUCACAAACAAGUCUUCUCAGAAUCUCAGCAGCCAGGUUAGGCUGGUCCCCUUGUUAUCUACCUUCAAGUACGCAUGGAAAACUUUCAGCAGGGUUUAGCUGGUUAAUUUUACCAAACAGCUUCCUUCCGCCCCUGUCCCAGAGGAGAGCCUAGCAAUCAGAGUGAAGUGAAAAGCCAGGAACAGCCAGAAUUCAGCCAGCCAAUUGCAGGCUUGUGACAUACCUCAGACCUGCUUUCCAGUGAGGCUGCUUCUUCACAACUUUCUUUUAUAGGUUUGUAAAAUAUAAUCUAUAUGUACUUUUAUUCAAGAAAAUAGACAUUAUUUUCAGGAUUAUUUGAGGGAGCAUUUUCUAUAA